rnacentral:rRNA from 1 species
GACGAACGCUGGCGGCGUGCUUAACACAUGCAAGUCGAGCGGUAAGGCCCUUUCGGGGUACGACGAGCGGCGAACGGGUAGGAGUAACAACGUGGGUGGACCUCGCCCUCCAGCUCUGGGAGUAAGCCGUCGGGAAACCGGGGUACUAAUAACUGGAUAUGACUCCAUGACGCAUGUUGGUGGGGUGGAAAGCCUUGUGCGGCUGAGGAUGGGCCCGGCGGCCUAUCAGCUUGUUGGUGGGGUGAGGCCUACCAAGGCGACGACGGGUAGCCGGCCUGAGAGGGCGACCGGCCACA